rnacentral:lncRNA from 1 species
CUGGCAACUGAUACUCUCAAUCUGGCUUGCAGACAGAAAGGCAGUGUGGAAGUGUCUUCAUGAAGGAAACCAACUUUGGAGCUGCCUGGGAAUUGGAUCAUCUUUAAGAAGAGGUUGAGUUUCUCCCUCCUUCGUGAUGCAUUGCUGAUACAGAAUCCUAAGGAGAAAGCCUCCCAAUCCAGCCCCACUCUAAAUCAGAUUAUAAAGCCUGUGAUUUAUUGAAAUUCAGUCUUGAAGCACUGAAGAUUAUUCCCCUAGUAUUGGAACAAGGAAUACUUUGACAAAAAAUGUCAGGAAGGAAUUAAUGGC